rnacentral:tRNA from 1 species
GCCUGGCUGGCUCAGUCAGUGGAGCAUGCAACUCUUGAUCUCAGGAUCAUGAGUUCAAGCCCCAUGCUGGGUG